rnacentral:misc_RNA from 1 species
AACGCACCUUGCGCCCCUUGGUAUUCCGAGGGGCAUGCCUGUUUGAGUGUCAUUAAAUUCUCAACUCCAUUUGAUUUGUUUCAAACCUGGAGCUUGGACUUGGAGUGUGCUGGCGUUGACCGUCGGCUCCUCUCAAAUGCAUCGGCGGAAUUGAACCUUUGACUUUCGAACGUCAGUGUGAUAAUCAACGUUGCGCUGUCGACCGGGGUCGGAGUCCGCUUACAAUCGUCCUCGGACAACUUAUCAAAUUUGACCUCAAAUCAGGUAGGACUACCCGCUGAACUUAA